rnacentral:tRNA from 1 species
GCCCAGGUGAUGAAAUGGUAGACAUGCAGUGUUCAGAACGCUGUGCCCGCAAGGGCUUGGGAGUUCGAGUCUCCCCCUGGGCACCA